UACGUAGGGUGCGAGCGUUGUCCGGAAUUACUGGGCGUAAAGCGUGCGCAGGCGGUUUUGUAAGACCGAUGUGAAAUCCCCGGGCUUAACCUGGGAACUGCAUUGGUGACUGCAAGGCUUGAGUGUGUCAGAGGGAGGUGGAAUUCCGCGUGUAGCAGUGAAAUGCGUAGAUAUGCGGAGGAACACCGAUGGCGAAGGCGGCUCACUGGUCCGGUACUGACGCUGAGGUGCGAAAGCGUGGGGAGCAAACAGG
rnacentral:rRNA from 1 species